UCAAACUCCCCUACAUGGUAAUUCUCAGAGUGGAACAUAUACAGACAGGCUCAUAGUAGGAAGAAAAGAAAAAGAAAAGGAAGACAGCUCCACAACACACAAUGCUAGGCCAGAGGAUUACCCCAAAGGUCUACAGUCACUCAGACUCUUGGACUCAAAGAAUAGCAGACCAACAGCAGCAAUCAGCACCACCUGGGAGCUGUUAGAAAUUCAGCAUC
rnacentral:lncRNA from 1 species